GGAGAUAAUGAACCUGAUGAAUUUGUUAAUCAACACUAUCACAGAUCUGAGCUUGAUUUGUGGAUAAAUGAGCUUGAUUAGUUAAAGACGCCAUGUCGUAGUGGUUUAAAGUAAGGAGAGAUCAAAACAAUGGCUUCCAGAGGGUUAACACUCGAGGAAUAGACGAGAGAGAGCCGCUGGCGAGAGAGAAGAGGAAGAGGAGAGAGAAAGAC
rnacentral:lncRNA from 1 species